CUCCUGGAAAAUCAGCCUCACAAGUCAAAAAUAAUUUUCCUUCUUAUGCUUUCUUUAUAACCUUUAUAAUACAGGAUCUAUUAUUCUGAUCUAACUUAUAUUCUAAUUAUUUGUGUGCUCUACUUAAGUCCUCCUGGAGUGAGAUAUCAUAGAGCAGAGGUGACCUUGGAUUCUUAAAGGUUAGGCAUGCAAAGUGUAAAAUGGAGAUUUGAACCCUAGACUUCAAUCACCAGAAGUCCUUGGUAUUUCCCAGAAUUCCCUAUAAUCUUCCCUGAGUCUCCACCUGGAUGAGAUCACAAUGAGUAUUUAACUGGCUCUCUACCUCCCACAUGUACUCUGCUCAGCCAUUUGCAAGAUGUAACCCACAGAAGGCUGCCCAGAUUAUUCCAGAUAUAUUCCCCUUAGCUCUAUUUUCCCAAACCCCGCCUGGACAGAGGACAAGAGACAUCAUGGAUUAUAAUACAAAGAACACUGGACUUGGAAUAAACAAAUAUACCUUACAGGUUCCCCACGUGUGGCCUCUGUCUUUGUCAAUGACUUCUGUGACAAGGAAAUCACUUUAAAAGACUGAUAUCUAUUAAUUUAAGGUUGCCAAGGAAUUCAGCUAUGUAAUUCCUAAAUGAAAACUCAAGUCAGCCGUCAACCUUUUAUAGAGUUUAAUUACAAACAGGAGGAAGAAAGGAAUUAGAGAUAGAGAGAGAGAAAGGGAGAGAGAAAGGGGAGAGAAGGGAAUAGGGCUUAAAUACCCCUUCUGUUUAGGCUGGGCCAAAAGGCCCAAGCCCUUAGAUAGCUGCGGCAAAGAAAGGAGAUCAGUCCCUAUUACUCACGUGACCAAAAUGGAGAAACAGUCUCAGCAGCCUCCACCUCCAGCUUCCUUCAGAGCAGCACAACCUCUCAGAGCCAAAAAAACUCUCCAACCAACCCUCACCGUCCUCAGACCCCUCUAUCUUUAAGGAAACCAUCCAAGUUCCCUCCCCUCAGUUCUCACAUCUACCAAUCACUGUCCAUGUCUUCCCUGUGCCAAUGGUGGCUCUACCUUAACCCAGGACCUCCCAGAGGUCUGUGGCUUUGCACAUGUCUGUUGAAGGUCAUAUUCUCAAAUAAUUAAAUCUUGAUCUAUGCUACAGCCCUUCCUAAAUCCUGUUACCCUGAGUAGGGUAGAGAUUGGAAUAAUUAAAUUUUGAUCUAUGCUGCAGCCCUUCCUAAAUCCUGUUAGGACUGAGUAGGGUAGAGAUUGCAAUUUCCAAGACCUGGUUCUGUCAUUCCAAGUAUCUCCAUUGUAUCAAUUCUAAAAUCAAUCAUGACUCAAAGAAAUUCCUGUUCUAUGCUUAAGCAUAGGUCAAAGCCCUUUCCAUUGUUCAGCAAAAGGUUUCUGUCCUAAAGUAAUCUUAAGAAGAGAGGAGGAGGAACCUCCCAUGCCAAUGGGGUUCACAUUCCAAUAGAGUUCCCACUCUCAAUAGGAAAUUUUUCAAGUAUGAAAUUUCCCAAUGGUGAAAUUUCCAACAUUUAUAAGUCUAAGAAAUUUUAAGGUUUACACUUCCCAGAGAGCUCUGCAGCAGUUUC
ensembl:lncRNA